AUUGAACGCUGRCGGCAGGCCUAACACAUGCAAGUCGAGCGGCAGCACAGAGGAACUUGUUCCUUGGGUGGCGAGCGGCGGACGGGUGAGUAAUGCCUGGGAAAUUGCCCGGUAGAGGGGGAUAACCAUUGGAAACGAUGGCUAAUACCGCAUAACCUCGCAAGAGCAAAGCAGGGGACCUUCGGGCCUUGCGCUACCGGAUAUGCCCAGGUGGGAUUAGCUAGUUGGUGAGGUAAGGGCUCACCAAGGCGACGAUCCCUAGCUGGUCUGAGAGGAUGAUCAGCCACACUGGAACUGAGACACGGUCCAGACUCCUACGGGAGGCAGCAGUGGGGAAUAUUGCACAAUGGGCGCAAGCCUGAUGCAGCCAUGCCGCGUGUAUGAAGAAGGCCUUCGGGUUGUAAAGUACUUUCAGUAGGGAGGAAGGUGGUUAAGUUAAUACCUUAAUCAUUUGACGUUACCUACAGAAGAAGCACCGGCU
rnacentral:rRNA from 1 species